AGGAGGCAGCAGUGAGGAAUAUUGGACAAUGGGGGCAACCCUGAUCCAGCCAUGCCGCGUGAGUGAAGAAGGCCUUAGGGUUGUAAAGCUCUUUUGGCGGGGACGAUAAUGACGGUACCCGCAGAAUAAGCCCCGGCUAACUUCGUGCCAGCAGCCGCGGUAAUACGAAGGGGGCUAGCGUUGUUCGGAAUCACUGGGCGUAAAGCGCACGCAGGCGGAUUGAUAAGUCGGGGGUGAAAUCCCGGGGCUCAACCUCGGAAUUGCCUUUGAUACUGUCUGUCUUCGAGUUCGGGAGAGGUUGGCGGAAUUCCUAGUGUAGAGGUGAAAUUCGUAGAUAUUAGGAAGAACACCAGUGGCGAAGGCGGCCAACUGGCCCGAUACUGACGCUCAUGUGCGAAAGCGUGGGGAGCAAACAGGAUUAGAUACCCCAGUAGUCUA
rnacentral:rRNA from 1 species